rnacentral:tRNA from 1 species
AGCCCCGUGGUGGAGUACCACGUUGGAUUGCAAAUCCAGAGACGCAGACUGAGGCCCUGCCGGGGCUU